AAUGAACGCUAGCGGCAGGCUUAAUACAUGCAAGUCGAGGGACAGCACAGGUAGCAAUACUGGGUGGUAACCGGCAAACGGGUGCGGAACACGUACACAACCUUCCUUUAAGUGGGGGAUAGCCCAGAGAAAUUUGGAUUAAUACCCCGUAAUAUAGUUGAAUGGCAUCAUUUGAUUAUUAUAGCUACGGCGCUUAAUGAUGGGUGUGCGGCUGAUUAGAUAGUUGGCGGGGUAACGGCCCACCAAGUCUACGAUCAGUAGCUGAUGUGAGAGCAUGAUCAGGCACACUGGCAAUGAGAAACGGGCCCGACUCCUACGGGAAGCAGCAGUAAGGAAUAUGUGUCAAUGGACGCAAGUCUGAACCAGCCAUGCCGCGUGAAGGGUUGAGGUCCUCUGGAUUGUAAACUUCUUUUAUUUGGGACGAAAAAGGGCCUUUCUAGGUCAACUGACGGUACCAGAUGAAUAAGCACCGGCUAACUCCGUGCCAGCCGCCGCGGUAACAC
rnacentral:rRNA from 1 species